rnacentral:rRNA from 1 species
UACGGAGGGUGCAAGCGUUAUCCGGAUUCACUGGGUUUAAAGGGUGCGUAGGCGGACAGGCAAGUCCGUGGUGAAAUCCUGCAGCUUAACUGCAGAACUGCCGUGGAUACUCUCUGUCUUGAAUAUCGUGGAGGUGAGCGGAAUAUGUCAUGUAGCGGUGAAAUGCAUAGAGAUGACAUAGAACACCGAUUGCGAAGGCAGCUCACUACGCGAAGAUUGACGCUGAGGCACGAAAGCGUGGGGAUCAAACAGG